UACGGGGGGGGCAAGCGUUGUUCGGAAUUACUGGGCGUAAAGGGCGCGUAGGCGGCCUGCUAAGUCGAACGUGAAAUCCCUGGGCUCAACCCAGGAACUGCGUCCGAUACUGGUUGGCUUGAAUCCGGGAGAGGGACGUGGAAUUCCAGGUGUAGCGGUGAAAUGCGUAGAUAUCUGGAGGAACACCGGUGGCGAAGGCGACUCACUGGCCCGACACUGACACUGAGGUGCGAAAGCUAGGGUAGCAAACGGG
rnacentral:rRNA from 1 species